AGGAUGAACAGGAUGACUGUCUGCUUGGUC
rnacentral:piRNA from 1 species